rnacentral:tRNA from 1 species
GAUAUCUUGUCCGAGAGGUUAAGGAGGUACACUGCUAAUGUAUUAUCGUAAGAUGCGUGAGUUCGAAUCUCACAGAUAUCG